UCCAUAUUUGGUGAGUAACGUACGUAUUUCAACAUAACGAUUGCUGCGCUGUCUAAUGGGCUUUUGGUUUGUUGCUUCCAGCGCGUUAGUUAGGAGAACCGUAAUACCCAUCAUAUCUAACGCACAGAUACUGGGGCAGCCUAACCUUAAAUUAAGACCAAUAAGUUAGUUCACACGAUAUUGCCAUUUUAACUGAUUGUGGUAACUAGUGACACUCAAUUCCAUUGAUGUAGCUACAUCGUGGAGUUGGGAAAACUCGGCUAGGAAAGGAGGGAAUCAUAAAGGAUGUCGGUGGGCGGAGCUGGAAGGGUCGUCAGUGACAUGGUACACACCUGUGCCUGGGUGUGUCCCGGGAUAAAUACACCUCUUCCCCAUUCAAUGAGGAGAGACAGGCCAAAUGGACCACAGAUACACCCAUGUCCAUAAUGCUGAAACUGACCUAGAAGAGAGGAAAGGGGAGAAAGGAGAAAAAAUACAAUCAAUUGUGUGUGUAUGAAAGUGGCUCCCCCUGCACAGUUGUGAACUAUAAUUUUAAUGAAGAUUUUUAUUAUUUUAUUUUUUAAAGUAAACACCACAAACUCAUGUCGGGAAAAGAAAGAGGCGAAACUAAUCUACGCCCGUUCUGAUAAAAACCUUGCUUGCUUGACCACACCCUCCUUCCUUGUUCCUGGCCUGCCCUGUCUCUUCCACCAAUCCAUUUGUUUCUUAUGGACAGAAAAGAGCAGAAGCUCUGAGCUGUCCGAUCAGGUCCAUUGCUUACUGAGUGGCAUUGAGGUGACUCCAUGCAGACACACUGUUAGAUUUUGGUUGUGGCCGUUUAUUUGCUUUGGCACCUUAACACCCCUCAUUAUCACAUUUAUGCAUGCAACCACUCAUUUACACUACUGAUUACACACACCAUUGUUAAUUGUAUUUAGUUUACUUCAGUUAAUAAAUAUAUUUUGUUAUUCCUUA